rnacentral:tRNA from 2 species
GCCAACAUAGCUCAGCUGGUAGAGCAGCUGAUUUGUAAUCAGCCGGUCGGGGGUUCGAGUCCCUCUGUUGGCU